rnacentral:rRNA from 1 species
GACGAACGCUGGCGGCGUGCUUAACACAUGCAAGUCGAACGGAAAGGCCCUGCUUUUGUGGGGUGCUCGAGUGGCGAACGGGUGAGUAACACGUGAGUAACCUGCCCUUGACUUUGGGAUAACUUCAGGAAACUGGGGCUAAUACCGGAUAGGAGCUCCUGCUGCAUGGUGGGGGUUGGAAAGUUUCGGCGGUUGGGGAUGGACUCGCGGCUUAUCAGCUUGUUGGUGGGGUAGUGGCUUACCAAGGCUUUGACGGGUAGCCGGCCUGAGAGGGUGACCGGCCACAUUGGGACUGAGAUACGGCCCAGACUCCUACGGGAGGCAGCAGUGGGGAAUAUUGCACAAUGGGCGGAAGCCUGAUGCAGCAACGCCGCGUGCGGGAUGACGGCCUUCGGGUUGUAAACCGCUUUCGCCUGUGGCGAAGCGUGAGUGACGGUAAUGGGUAAAGAAGCACCGGCUAACUACGUGC